GUGGGGAAUAUUGGGCAAUGGAGGGAACUCUGACCCAGCAACGCCGCGUGAAGGAAGAAGGUUUUCGGAUUGUAAACUUCUGUCGCGAGGGACGAAGAAUGACGGUACCUCGUAAGAAAGCCCCGGCUAACUACGUGCCAGCAGCCGCGGUAAUACGUAGGGGGCAAGCGUUGUCCGGAAUGACUGGGCGUAAAGGGAGUGUAGGCGGCACUAUAAGUUAGAUGUGAAAGCCCGCAGCUUAACUGCGGAACUGCAUCUAAAACUGUAGAGCUUGAGUGCAGGAGAGGUAAGUGGAAUUCCUAGUGUAGCGGUGGAAUGCGUAGAUAUUAGGAGGAACACCAGAGGCGAAGGCGACUUACUGGACUGUAACUGACGCUGAGGCUCGAAAGCGUGGGGAGCAAACAGGA
rnacentral:rRNA from 1 species